AGUGAACGCUGGCGGUAGGCCUAACACAUGCAAGUCGAACGGCAGCACAGGAGAGCUUGCUCUCUGGGUGGCGAGUGGCGGACGGGUGAGGAAUACAUCGGAAUCUGCCCAGUCGUGGGGGAUAACGUAGGGAAACUUACGCUAAUACCGCAUACGACCUUCGGGUGAAAGAGGGGGAUCGCAAGACCUCUCGCGAUUGGAUGAGCCGAUGUCGGAUUAGCUAGUUGGCGGGGUAAUGGCCCACCAAGGCGACGAUCCGUAGCUGGUCUGAGAGGAUGAUCAGCCACACUGGAACUGAGACACGGUCCAGACUCCUACGGGAGGCAGCAGUGGGGAAUAUUGGACAAUGGGCGCAAGCCUGAUCCAGCCAUACCGCGUGGGUGAAGAAGGCCUUCGGGUUGUAAAGCCCUUUUGUUGGGAAAGAAAUCUUUCAGGCCAAUACCCUGGGAGGAUGACGGUACCCAAAGAAUAAGCACCGGCUAACUUCGUG
rnacentral:rRNA from 1 species